rnacentral:rRNA from 1 species
AGUGAACGCUGGCGGUAGGCCUAACACAUGCAAGUCGAACGGCAGCACAGUAAGAGCUUGCUCUUACGGGUGGCGAGUGGCGGACGGGUGAGGAAUACAUCGGAAUCUACUUUUUCGUGGGGGAUAACGUAGGGAAACUUACGCUAAUACCGCAUACGACCUACGGGUGAAAGCAGGGGAUCUUCGGACCUUGCGCGAUUGAAUGAGCCGAUGUCGGAUUAGCUAGUUGGCGGGGUAAAGGCCCACCAAGGCGACGAUCCGUAGCUGGUCUGAGAGGAUGAUCCGCCACACUGGAACUGGGGCACGGUCCAGACUCCUAAGGGAGGCCGCAGUGGGGAAUAUUGGACAAUGGGCGCAAGCCUGAUCCAGCCAUACCGCGUGGGUGAAGAAGGCCUUCGGGUUGUUAAACCCUUUUGUUGGGAAAGAAAAGCAGCAGGUUAAUACCCCGCUGUUCUGACGGUACCCAAAGAAUAAGCACCGGCUAACUUCGUG